UGUAUAUAUAUAUACACACAUGCUUACAUUAAUAUAUAUGUAUAUAAAAAAGUGAAAUAUAACAUCAAAACGCCUCACGAUGUGGGCUAACAGCACAGACGACCCGGAGAACUUUACCAAACCGAAUUGGAUUCAUAUGACAAUAAUGAUUGCCGUGACGGUUCUAAUCUUGUUGUCAUCUCUUUUCACUCUGGCCGUCAUCGUUUACUCGAACGGUUACAGGUCAUUACAGGGCAUAUUCAUGAUCUGUAUAGCUUCGUCUAAUUUAUUAGUCGGCGUUUUGGUCACACCUGUCGGCAUAUUUCUCUCGCAAAACCCGGACUAUCAAACGAUCGAGAACAUCUGUCCCGUGUCCUGCACCUCGCUCCUGUGGUCUGUCACUUUCGUUCUCUACUGCAUCGGCUUCAUGGCCCUGGAAAAGUACUUCAAAAUCAAGUUAUCUAUUACCUACGUUAACCGGAUUCGACCACUCUACGGUUGGAUUGUAGCUUGUCUGACAGCCGUCGGCAGUGCCUUCGUCGUCGCCCUCCCGAUAAAGCUUCAAGGUUCCGAGAUGUUCCGUUUGUACUCUGACACCAGUUUUCUGUGCAUCUUCAGCUACCAAGGUUUGGGCUAUAUUUCCACACCAGCCAUCCUACUUAAUAUCGGUUCGCAUUUGGCGCUCGGCCAACUUGUGCGUCAUAUCAAGCGCAACCCCAAUCAAAUGUGUCCAUCGAUGCCUCGCCGACUCAACCGCGACCUGACGGCAGCGAAAACCAUUUCCAUUUCACUCGGGAUCUUUCUCUGCUCCUAUAUUCCUGCUACAGUCUGUAUCUUCUUACGACAAUACGUUGUCGUGGACAUACCAAAACCAGUCUUUUUCGGAGUCACUUGGUUGACGAUCUCAAACAAUUUCUUUAUUUCCAUCCUCUACUACCAACACAACAGUGUGUUCCGGUACAAGGCCCAGAAACUGAUUCAAGUUAUGUGUAAUCCUUGCCAGUCAUUGUUCUGCAGCAAGACGAACAUUAAGGGCCUCUGGACAUUUACUGAUGUCAAUGACCAACUAAGUUUAUAACCAUUAGUGAACUGGAGCAACGUGAAAUAAAGUGUCUUGCUUAAGGAUCCAACGUGCCGCCGGGAACUGAACUCGUGAGUUUACGACUGUAAGCCGAAUACCCUGACCACCAAGCCACGCACCUUCACUACUGUCGUACACAGAUAUCAGAAGCUCAGAAAAUAUAGCACGAAAUGGAUAAGCGAAAUCGAUGAAACAAUCGGAAAAAAAUUAAAGAAAUGAUGCAAGACAAAGCCGCACAUAUUGAGUAGAAAAGGUCAGACUUCUGCAAGGAUAACAAUAUUGCUUUCUGAUCCUCAUCUGACGAAAUGACGAAACGAUCGUGGAUUACAUGUAUAAUAUGUUGUAAUAUUAGAUAAUCAUUAUUUAUAU
rnacentral:misc_RNA from 1 species